rnacentral:rRNA from 1 species
UUCUAGGUUGACCUCGGAUCAGGUAGGGAUACCCGCUGAACUUAAACAUAUCAAUAAGCGGAGGA